GGAGUUCUGUAGCUCACUGAGAGAGUAUCUGCUUAGCAUGCAGAAGGUCCCAGGUUCAGUCCCCAGCAUCUCCA